rnacentral:rRNA from 1 species
AGAAUCAACGCUGGCGGCGUGCCUAACACAUGCAAGUCGAACGAGAAAGUGGAGCAAUCCAUGAGUAAAGUGGCGCACGGGUGAGUAACACGUGACUAACCUACCCUUGAGUGGGGAAUAACUUCGGGAAACCGAGGCUAAUACCGCAUAACACCUACGGGUCAAAGGAGCAAUUCGCUUAAGGAGGGGGUCGCGGCAGAUUAGCUAGUUGGUGGGGUAAUGGCCCACCAAGGCGAUGAUCUGUA